rnacentral:rRNA from 1 species
UAGGGAAUCUUCGGCAAUGGGGGCAACCCUGACCGAGCAACGCCGCGUGAGUGAAGAAGGUUUUCGGAUCGUAAAGCUCUGUUGUAAGUCAAGAACGAGUGUGAGAGUGGAAAGUUCACACUGUGACGGUAGCUUACCAGAAAGGGACGGCUAACUACGUGCCAGCAGCCGCGGUAAUACGUAGGUCCCGAGCGUUGUCCGGAUUUAUUGGGCGUAAAGCGAGCGCAGGCGGUUUGAUAAGUCUGAAGUUAAAGGCUGUGGCUCAACCAUAGUUCGCUUUGGAAACUGUCAAACUUGAGUGCAGAAGGGGAGAGUGGAAUUCCAUGUGUAGCGGUGAAAUGCGUAGAUAUAUGGAGGAACACCGGUGGCGAAAGCGGCUCUCUGGUCUGUAACUGACGCUGAGGCUCGAAAGCGUGGGGAGCGAACAGGAUUAGAUACCCUGGUAGUCCACGCCGUAACGAUGAGUGCUAGGUGUUGGAUCCUUUCCGGGAUUCAGUGCCGCAGCUAACGCAUUAAGCACUCCGCCUGGGGGAGUACGACCGCAAGGUU